UUGAUUAGUGAGAAUAAAAAAAUAGAUUAGAAUGAAAAAAGAGAGGAAGAAAAAAAUGAUGAGGAGAAAAUAAUAGAGGAUAAUAUUGAUGGUGAAGUUGGGGAGUGGAGUGAGGAAGAAGUUGAAGAGGAUGAAAAGAAUGGUGAAGUUGAAAAGAAAGAAAGUGUGGAAAUUGAGAAAAAUAAGAAUGAUGAAGUGAUAGUAGAGGAAGUG
rnacentral:lncRNA from 1 species